AGCGGGAGAAAGAGCCUACAGGCAGAGGUGGCUGAGCAGUCCUGGUCUCAGAAUUCUCUCACGUUCCUGGUAAUUGACUAUUGGUUGAUCUUGGCUGAGAUGACUCUGGUGACUUGCCGGUUCCCACGUUGUGUGUCCCAUCCUCCAGGAGCCAGACUGGGCAUGUUGUCAUGGUGAUGACAGAAGGCAAGAACAGAAACGUAAAUGGAAACAUGCAAGUACUCUUUCGAGCAUUUGUUUGUGUCACAUCUACUAACCUCCCAUUGGAUAAAGCAAGUCACAUGGCUUUUAAUGAAAGAGUUAAAGCUUUAACAACACCUCUGGAGGCUUCCAUAGUCAAGAAUUUUGAGGUUUAGUUGAGUAAAAUGGCAGAGUCAAAAGAAUAAACCAUCAGAUGGAAUGUCUUAGGAAGACUGCAGUAACAAGAAAUUUUAAGAGCUUCAAGCCAGGAAGAUCUUAGCUUGAAGAAAUCCUCACCCCACCAUUUUAUAAAUAAAUAAAUAAAUAAAUAAAUAAAUAAAUAAAUAAAUAAAUAAAAAAAAAUAAAGCCCAGAGGGGUUCAAGUGCAUUUUCAAAGGGAGAGAGAUGGAGCUAGAACAAGAAUCCAAGUCUUUUGCUCAGCCCAGUGUUCCUUCUGUUGCCUGAAGUUUCUCUGGCCAUUGGCCACUCGGCUCCUCUAUAAUGUUCACCUCUAACCUUUGUUUUCAUUUUCCUAUCAUCCAACUGCGUGAUAAUAAAUUGGUCUCAGUACUCUGUUUUCUUAAUUCCUAGUAGAAGCUGAAGGCAUUGCUUUUCUCCUGGGAACACUGUUUGGUGCUGACUGAUUGGAGGUGCCUCCCCUGGGUUUGCAGAGGGAGCAAGGUUUUAGUUCCUGGAAAAUUUAAUACACAAUUUGAUCUUUGCUACUCUACUGAACUUCUCCUAAGCUUGCCUUUCCUUAUCUCCUUGCUCUCCCAGCUGCCAGGUAAUUUGAUCUGGAUCUGUCUUAUCAGUCCUAGGCCAGCAAGCAGGUGAUGAAUGAGGGGCUGGGGAAGCAGCUGUCUCUUCUUUGAGGCCACCGGCAUUUUUGGAAGAGACUCUAUGCGUGGCAGUUGCUGGAAAUGGAGGUGAAACUCAUUCCCACACUCCUUAGUCUAAGGCCUGUACUGUUUGUUUUUUGUUUUUUGUCUUUGCCUCCUCCAACUCACUUAGAGGUGAAUCUUUCUUCUUCAGAGUUCUUGGCAUUCCUGGGGCUUUACAGUGGUCUGGUCAUUGAGGCUCCCUACCAGAGGACAGAAUUUCCCUGGCUUAACCCUGGUUGAUCUUAAAAUAAUCACUCACACUUAUAAAUCAUAUUCAGAGUCUUGAAUUGAACUAGAGUGUAAAAUAGUGCUGCAGAUGGAUUAUUCAUCCUUCUGAAAGAGAAGCCUUAAUGGUACAAUGGUGGUGCUGCCCCAAGUAACCUGGAUAGGUCUUAUGCUUCAGAUGUGAGAUUAAAGGAUCAAGGGGAAGCUGUUGAGUCAUGGCAUCUGACCCACUUAAACCUGUUAGACUCUCUUCAAGAAUCUAAUAUGUCCUUUGAGAGGAAUCACCUCUGAGUUGUAUCUCUUCUGCAUGGCUACAGGGAGAAAGCCUGCUAUAUCUACUGGAAUAAAAAAGGAAGCAGAGAAAAUGGAAUCUAGACAAAUGGAUAUCCGGAUCCAGCUGGACAAAGCCCUGUGAUGUUAAAGCCACCAGUCUGACUCUGUAGGACACUGUCGCUACCACAUCCCAAAAGGAAAUGUACCCAGCCUGCCUACUUGCCACUCAGCAUCCCUCCCAGGGGAAAGAGCUAUGCCUUAGGGGUGUGAUGUCACAAACAAGUCAACCAUCGUUUAGAGGCAUCAUUUCAAGGUUCCCCCUCUCUGCUUCUCAGCUUACUUUCCCUCUGCUGCUGUCACCUGGCUGUCAGCAUCCAAAUUAGCACAGAGCCCCAACCCAAGCAAGCAUCAACUGGAUUGUCAGCCCAGUGAAUGACCCACCCUGGGGACCUGCUGUUAUACCCUGCCUCAGCUGUCACCUUCCUGUGGCCUUCCUCUUUCCCCGGGCAUGCAGAGCCAUGAAAACAGCAGUAAGCUUCUCCCUGAGAAAGAAAAAGCUGCGUGUAAGGUCAGGUAAACACAGGGCCAGAGAAAGCUCUCCCUUCCCCCAUCCCACAGACACAUCUUAUCCUCGCCCCAAGCUAAGGACCUCUAAAUCCAGCCACAGUAGCAAUGCUGGGAUGGCAGGAAAAUGUUCAGCCUGGAAACCACAACCUCUGCAGCACAGCAGCCAGCACCAGUGAAGGACAUGGAGUUAAAUCGAAAAGGAAUUUGAAUGACAAAGUGACAUUAUGUCUAUCUCCCUAAUGAUGGGACAAGUUGGUCUUCUGUCAUUGGCAAGGCAAAACUGCCAGGACCAGAUGUGUAUUUAAAAGCUAUUUCUCAUGGUUUUAAGUCACCAGGUCAGCUCGAUACCUAAAACAAAGAGAAUGAAUUAUGGAACAGGACGAGGGGAGCUUGUUAAUUUUCCUACUGAUGCACUGUGAAAUGAAAGCUUUAUUCUAAGAAUGGUAUAUCCUCAGGGCUCUCUCUGGAGAGACAAAUUCAAAUGUCCUUACUGUUUUCUUUGUCCCUUACUUUAUGGCUUUUUCUGUACACAUUUACGAAGUAUAUAUAUUUCAUGGUAUGUCUGUGUCUAUAGGACUCAGGGAGUUCAAGUCUGUGAUUCUCUUUAGGGCUUCCUUGACAAUAAGGAGUGCUUAGGUGAUGUUAUUGAUGAAUACACACACACACACACAAUUAGAAUUUGUGGCCAGCCUGUCUGUAUAUAUUAUAGAGACAUCCAUGCAGGCUGCUUGCUAUUGUCUGCACUAGUGAGCUAUAGCCCAUCUCCAAUUGGAACCCAAUGAAAUAAUCAUAACAAUUUUGCCUUCAUGUAUCACCUUUCAUCAGGGAGGAUGAAAGGACUUCACAAACUCUGGGUUCUUCUUUGAUCUAGGCGCCUAUCUGGUACACCGAUCUCCAUUGUGUAUUCUGCCCUCACCCUGCCGAUGGGCCUCCCAUUGACAGUAAUUGAACUUCCAUAUGCAGAGCAGCCAAAAGGCCGGCCUGGCCAGAGAGACUUCUGUCAGCUGCCAGGAGGGAGAGGGCUGCUUCCAGAAGGGACUUGGGUUGCUGUUCUGCAUCUGCAACAGGGGGCAGGGAUUAUAAAUGUGGGGAAAGAGGCAAGUAAUUCUUAAGCUGCAACUUCAGUUUGAGAGAGGGGUGCUUAAUAGGAGAUGGAGGAACAUUCUAGGUAACAUGAUAAAAUAAAUCUCCAGAAUGUGGGUGUUGCCUAAGGCUCUGCUCUUCACUGUCUUCUCUUCCAUAUCGACUUUAGCUAUUAGCUUUAUGGGAAGGACUCCGAAAUAUGUAUCCCAGGCUCAAACUCUCUUGGGUCUAGCCAGGCAUCUCUAGCUGUCUCCUGGGCAUUUCCAUCCACAUAUUUCACUGGAACAUCAAUCACAGCUUCUACCAAAUAUUAUAUAUGAUUCUUCCUCCUCCUUCACUCUCAAAUAGCUCCCUUCCCUGACCUUCCUACUUGUAGUCACUGAUGUUACAGCCACAAGUAAUUUAGCCAAUAUCUGUGUUCUCGUGGAGCUUGCAUUUUAGAGAGGGGUGAGAGAAUCCAAUAAACAAGCAAUAAAUGAAGAAGAGAAAUAGCAGGAAAUGAUAGUUUAGGUGGUGAUGGGUUAGGGGUGUGGACCUCUUUGGACUGAGUGACCAACAUUGGCUUCUCCAGGGAGGAAACUAUUCCAGGUGCAGGGAACAGCAAGCACCAAAGCCCUGAGAGAGCCAAGGCCCCAAACAGAAAAGAUGCUGAGCUGCUGGAGCAUGAUAACAGGAGAGUGGGAGGAGAUGAGGUUAGAGAGGUGGCCAGUGAUUAGAUGAGGUGAGGCUUUGGUGAUGGGAUGCAGAGUUUGGAAUCUAAGCCAAGUGCUGUCCAAAGCCAGGGAGGGUUUCCAGCAGCGGCUUGUGGGAGCUGAUGUCCAUUAGUAGCACCUCUCAGCUGAGACUUUGAGUCACUUUGACUCUUCUCUGUAUCACACACCUCUCUCCAUACAGGCAGUGUCUAAUGUGGAAUGAGAGAAAGGUUUUGGUAACCCUCCAACUCCCUUUGCUUCUCCCCUCCAGGGUCCCGGACAGAGUUUUCUGUGUUCAAAAGAACUAGAAGCCAAACAGAAAAUAAAGCAUCCUUUUUGUGAUCGCUGGGAAAGGACAACAUACCCUUCAGGCUGUAAAUGUGGCUUAGGCUAGCAGACUAAAGCUUAGUUUCCCAAUUUUUCUGAGAAUAUAGAUCUUGGGACCCACCUGCUCAGGCAUGCUUGCUGUUGGAGGGGGUGAGAAUGGGUGGUCUCAUGGAGAGUGGUUGCUACACCCAUCUCCCAGCUGCUGAGAGUGUUGUCUGCUAAGGAAAUCACAGCUGCCCUCCUCAGAGAAUCGCCAUUGGGAGGUUCCCCACCUUCCCACCAGGGGCAGCAUGUAAUCCAUGACUGGCAUAGGGUACAAAAGGCAGGCCCCUUACCUCUAGGUGAGACAAUUCUGUGGUACAGUUCAUACUCCAGAGCUCCCGUGGGAACAGGUCCAAGAAGUGUCCAGCUGAGACCCCAACCUUGCUCAGUCCUCUGCUGCACCUGGCUUACCUUCCCCCCUUCUCCUGAGAGCAUUUUCUCAAGAGACAUGUGCACUUCAUCAUCUUAUCAGGAUCUGCUUCUACGGAAUGCAACCUAAGACAAGUGGAGAUAGAGCCAGGCCUUUUAAGGAGCCCUGACAAAUCUCUACAAAAUUUCCAUUCACUUCUCCCUUUUAAAUUCAUUCAUUUAUUCAACAAAUACAUUGAAACAUGUUUUGUACACUCUGGCACACAAGAAAUCAGGUAGGCACAGCCCAUUCCCUCAUAGAGCUUACAAACCAGGAAGAAAGGCAGACAUCAAACUGGUAAAUGCAUUCAUUUGGGUGCAUCAUGUUGAGAGUAGUCUUCGUCAUUGUAAUGGGACUGUUUGCCUCCAAGUCCCUAUUUCUAAGACGAUGAAGGAACAGGAGUAAGCCCGGACACCAGAGCCUUUCUUCUGCUUUGCGAGCUGCUGAUAUGUAGCUGGGAUCUCUUUGUGUCCCCGCUGGGCUGACACUCACCAGUGAGCCAAGAAGGGAGGGGUGGUUAAAGGCGUGAGGACCCCGAAGGGGACCCCUUGAAAGUGCUCACUCUUCCUUCUACUAAUUAUUUUGUUUUUUUAAAAGCUUGCCCUGUUUAGUCUCUCAGGAGGUUUUCCUGCCCACGGGGGGUAUGGCUGCCUCCCAGGAGAAUCUGGCCAGGAUUUACACCACCCAGCCCACAAAAUCCUGAACAGCUCAGGACCAGCCCAUGCUAUUGUGAGCUGAGAGUCACUCUUCAGUUCUCAUGAUUGCAGGUAAAUAAAUGUUCCAGCCGUCCCGAGCUCUCACAUGAAGACUACCUGCCAAGGAAUUUUUUCCUCUGGGACCCAUGGCCACAUUGCUGGGCUGAGACUUUCUUGCAUUCAUAGAAUUCCCCUGUUACAACGGCCACUAGUCAGCUCCCAUUGCCUUAGUUUCCUGCUUGAAGGAGGUAGAAGAGAACUGCUGGCUGAUGCUUGUUUAAUUCACUGUGAAGGGUGCAGUUUAAGGAAGAUCUCCCUCAAAGGCAGCCACAUUCCGGACUCCUCUAUAAGUGCUUACUAAUGGAAGAGAUAAUUUGGGGUCAGGGCCAGCUUCGUGGGCCCCUGACCUGUGCAGUUUACAUAGGACUCCACACUUAGAAGGGCCCUACUCUUGGUUUAAUGUUCUGUUAUUGCUGUCUUAAAAUUCUUAAUAAUUUCUAAACAAGGGUCCCUACCUUUUCAUCUUACCUUAGGCCCCACAGAUUAUGUAGCUAGUCUGGUUUGGGAUCAUGCAUCAAGACUUGUUCCAGGUUGCCUGCCAAGAGGCAGAGAGAAAGGUAAAACUUCCCUUGGAUCUCUUUCACCCCAGGAUGCUGGUGAAUUCUAAAGGCACAGGGGCAGAUUUCUGCAGUUGAACAGUGUCUCUGGGGAGAGUAUAUUCACAAUACAGAACCAUCAGUCUGUACAGAGCCCAACGUGGUGGACAGUUGCUGACUGUCAGGGGUAGCUGCAGAGGGAGAAUGGAGAUGUAGGAGCAGGAAAAAUCUGCUUGAUUGUGAAUAGAACUAGAUCUGUUUUUUCUUGGUAUGGCAGGUGUUUGGAGCUGAUCAUUUUUCUUAGGGAGCAUCUGGGGGCUCCUUGAAGGUCUCCUGUUGGCCCUUCACUGGGUGUUCCCUUCAUCCUAACAGAUGCUUCUCGCUUCCAGGAGUCAGUUGAGGGCUCUUCCACAGCCCCUAGAGAUCCAGCAUCUCCCCUCAGCUCCUGGGGCCCCUGUUGAGAUGAACCCAAGCAAAUCCCA
rnacentral:lncRNA from 10 species